rnacentral:rRNA from 1 species
GCGGCUACAUGCAAGUCGAACGGUGAACACGGAGCUUGCUCUGUGGGAUCAGUGGCGAACGGGUGAGUAACACGUGAGCAACCUGCCCCUGACUCUGGGAUAAGCGCUGGAAACGGCGUCUAAUACUGGAUAUGUGACGUGACCGCAUGGUCUGCGUCUGGAAAGAAUUUCGGUUGGGGAUGGGCUCGCGGCCUAUCAGCUUGUUGGUGAGGUAAUGGCUCACCAAGGCGUCGACGGGUAGCCGGCCUGAGAGGGUGACCGGCCACACUGGGACUGAGACACGGCCCAGACUCCUACGGGAGGCAGCAGUGGGGAAUAUUGCACAAUGGGCGCAAGCCUGAUGCAGCAACGCCGCGUGAGGGACGACGGCCUUCGGGUUGUAAACCUCUUUUAGCAGGGAAGAAGCGAAAGUGACGGUACCUGCAGAAAAAGCGCCGGCUAACUACGUGCCAGCAGCCGCGGUAAUACGUAGGGCGCAAGCGUUAUCCGGAAUUAUUGGGCGUAAAGAGCUCGUAGGCGGUUUGUCGCGUCUGCUGUGAAAUCCGGAGGCUCAACCUCCGGCCUGCAGUGGGUACGGGCAGACUAGAGUGCGGUAGGGGAGAUUGGAAUUCCUGGUGUAGCGGUGGAAUGCGCAGAUAUCAGGAGGAACACCGAUGGCGAAGGCAGAUCUCUGGGCCGUAACUGACGCUGAGGAGCGAAAGGGUGGGGAGCAAACAGGCUUAGAUACCCUGGUAGUCCACCCCGUAAACGUUGGGAACUAGUUGUGGGGUCCAUUCCACGGAUUCCGUGACGCAGCUAACGCAUUAAGUUCCCCGCCUGGGGGAGUACGGCCGCAAAGGCUAAAACUCAAAGGAAUUGACGGGGAACCCGCACAAGCGGCGGAGCAUGCGGAUUAAUUCGAUGCAACGCGAAAACCUUACCAAGGCUUGACAUAUACGAGAACGGGGCCAAAAAUGGGUCAACUCUUUGGACACUCGUAAAACAGGUGGUGCAUGGUUGUCUCACCUCUGUCUGAAAUUUUGGGUUAAUCCCCCAAAGCGCAACCCUGUUUUUUCCGCCCUAAUGGUGGGAACUCUG